rnacentral:tmRNA from 1 species
GGGGGCGAGUAGGCUCGACGUGGCGAGCGGCAGCGAUGGAUAAGCGAGCCGAGGUUCCACCAGCUCGUAAAAACGGUGGGCGAAACACAAACGCCAACAACGAACCUGUUCUCGCGGCUGCUUAAUUAACCGCCGCACGUCUCGGCCGCUGAGCCUGCAGAGCGGCUGAAGGCGUCACACGAUGCAGGCUCGCUUCCGUUCCUGGCCCGGGGGACGGGAGGACACCCGACGGGCUGGCCCGGCACGCAUCCUGCCUAUGGGAGGCCGCCAGGGCGAGAUUAAUACAUAGGCUACGCUCGUAGAAACCGUCGUUGGCUGCCGUUGCGGACCCGGCGUGCGACUCGCCGGCGCCUCCACCA